AGCGUUUGACAUGGUAGGACGGUUUCCAGAGAUGGAUUCCUUCCCUUACGGGACCUACACACAGGUGCUGCAUGGCUGUCGUCAGCUCGUGUCGUGAGAUGUCGGGUUAAGUCCCGCAACGAGCGCAACCCUCGUCUUUAGUUGCUACCAUUUAGUUGGGCACUCUAAAGAAACUGCCGGUGAUAAGCCGGAGGAAGGUGGGGAUGACGUCAAGUCCUCAUGGCCCUUACGCGCUGGGCUAC
rnacentral:rRNA from 1 species